UACCUCAUUUCCAGUGUGGGCAAUCAGCUCUAGGACUAACACAGGGAUGCCUGUGAUUAAAGCAAACUGUUGGACACUUUUCUAAGGCAGGAGUUGUUGUUGUGUUCAGCAAGAAACAGUACUCCACCAUACAGUCAGAGAGAGACACAGGGUCACAGAGAGGCAGGGAGAAACAUAGACAUACAGAGGGACAUAGAGUUUUAAAGAAACAGAGUCAGAAAGAGGCACAAAAUCACAGCGUCAUCGAGAUUAACCGACAGAGUUAAAGCAAGUCAUAGACAGGCAAACAGAGAGAGAGAGACAGAGAUACAUUAAAAAAAAGACCACGCGGUUUGUACAAGGUGCCUUACUGGGAGGGGGAAUCCCUCCUGUCCCCCUCCACCCCCCAAUAACCACCAUCCUGACCCUCGGGAACGGGACAUGUUGACACAGUCCGCUCUCCCUCGGCGCUUUUCCUUCCCGUGUGGCCCCGGCGCCAUUUUAGCUUCAGGCCCCGCGCGAGAUGGCGGUUAACGGCCGCCUCGUGCCCCAAGUGACCGUUAGCAGCUGCUUCAGGGGAAAGGCUCUUUAAAGGGACAACCCUUUCAGGAGAGAGAAACAACAGGGCCGGCUCCGGGACUCGCCAAACUCAAUAAUAAUGACAAAUACACAGAGACAGAGAGGUGGGAGUGAACAAGAAAUCGUGCGGCGGCAUAUCAAGACCAAAGGCCACUCUCCCGAAGGACGGCUGCCCUGGACUCGAAACGUUGACUCCGCUUUCUCUCUGUCUGUCUCUGGACAGAUGCUGCCAGGCCUGAAGCACAAACAAGGUCCUCGGGGGAGAUGACUCUUCUCUCUUCCUCCAGACAAUUACUUGAAGGACCAAGACAAUGUAACAUCCCCUCGGUACGAAGCCAAGUGUGAUCAAUUCCUUCUAACAAACAGCAGGUUGUCUCUGAUUGGCAGGAGGAUCCAUUGGUCAAUGGAAAGAAGGAUGCUGGAUGUUUCUGUGGAGAAUGAGGAGCAUGCGUAGGAUUUCACUGACACUGGUGAACAAGCGCAAUAUGACAUGUGAAGAUGCUGGUGUUACCGGCAGAUUUUAAAUGUCCAAAUGCCAACAGCAGAAAAAAAAAGGCUGGACCCGGAAUCCAACCCCACCCCCACCCCCCCGCCCCUCCACACAC